rnacentral:tRNA from 1 species
AAAUAAGAAGCGAACAAUUGCAAUCAGUUUCGGCCUGAUUCUUGGUGCUAAUACACCCUUAUUUA